ACAAACUUGGUCAUUUAGAGGAAGUAAAAGUCGUAACAAGGUUUCCGUAGGUGAACCUGCGGAAGGAUCAUUAGUGAUUGCCUUAAUUGGCUUAAACUAUAUCCAUCUACACCUGUGAACUGUUUGAUUGAAUCUAACGAUUCAAUUUUUACAAACAUUGUGUAAUGAACGUCAUUAGAUCAUAACAUGAAAAAACUUUCAACAACGGAUCUCUUGGCUCUCGCAUCGAUGAAAAACGCAACCUGGGUCAUUUAGAGGAAGUAAAAGUCGUAACAAGGUUUCCGUAGGUGAACCUGCGGAAGGAUCAUUAGUGAUUGCCUUAAUUGGCUUAAACUAUAUCCAUCUACACCUGUGAACUGUUUGAUUGAAUCUAACGAUUCAAUUUUUACAAACAUUGUGUAAUGAACGUCAUUAGAUCAUAACAUGAAAAAACUUUCAACAACGGAUCUCUUGGCUCUCGCAUCGAUGAAGAACGCAGC
rnacentral:misc_RNA from 1 species